rnacentral:lncRNA from 1 species
AUGAGCGGGUCCAGGCUGAAGCUCCUGCGGGGCGAAGCCAGCGUCGGGCACGCGCCGGGGCUCCGGGGGCCGGCGGGGGCGCAGCGCGAGGCCUCGGGGUCCCCAGGGCAGGUGGGGGCUCCCCCCCGCGGCGUCCUCGCUUACCUGGGCAGGGUGCUGCGCUGCUUUGAGUGGUUCAGAGACUUGGUGGAUCCCUGGUGGGGGAGAGGACACGGCGCACGGGUUGGGCCGCGCUCCAGGCGCCCCCAGAGCGCCGGGGGGUCCCCGGGGGGCCGCGCUCCCAGGCGCACCUGCUCCCGCCCCCGCCGGCAUCACUCACCAGGUGCUCUAUGCGCCUCACGGGGGCGGUGUUUCUCCGCUGGAGGAGGGGCGGGAGGAGGGCGGGGUCAGGGCGGGGCGGGGCCCAGGGGGACCCCGGACGGUGCGGAGGGCGCCCCGGCUGGCUGUCGGGGGCUGUCGGGCCGAGGGCACGGAGUCCUGCCCCCAGCCGGCCCACGGGCAAGAAGCGCGGAAGGGCUCAGUUCCUCCCUGUCCCUCGGGACGAGCGACACCCACAGCAGUCCACCCAGGUACCCAGGGGCGCCUCCUGGGGGCCCUCGGGGUGGCCGCCAGACCUUGGGGCACCUCAGCCAGGUUCCUUACACCCCCCCCCCUCCGCACACUCACCAGCUCGGCGGGAGGCAAGGCCUGACAGGACGAAGUCACCUGGAAGGACACCGAGGGGGGACUGCGCUGGUGCAGGAGGCUCUCCUGCGCCUGAGGAUGGGGCUGCCCCCCGGCUUCAGCAAGGUGGAGGGGCUCUCAGCAGCUGGCCACACACUCCAGCCGAGGUGCCUCUAUUUAAGGGAGCCUCCCCUCUGGCCUCGCGGUCCCCCACCCUGGGCCCCCCACUUGUUGCUCUUGGCUCCCAGCCCCCUGCCCACACAGACCCCCAUUCAUCCAGCUGCGGGGCCGGAGUUAUAUAUAGAGCCAUGUAGGCAGGCCAUGGCUAGGGACGACACUGGCCUCUUUCACCGGGAGACCCCGCCCCUGGGCACACAGCCCCCCCAGGCCAACUCCAAGCCCCGGGACCCCCCGCACUGCAGGAGGAGGACCGGGGAACCUCCUGACAUGGGGCUGUCUCGGGUCCCCAGUGGACAGUGCUGCUAUCUUGUGCCAUCUGCCCUGCCUUGUCCAGGGCCCAGGACCAGACCCACCCAGGCAUCCUGA